GACUUGUCUAAGGUAAUGAGUUAUCUCAAUGGAUUGUUGACAGUCAGUUAUAGAUUGAACUCCUUGUUCUACUCAUACUCUCAGUACUGCAUAUGACUAGUCUAAA
ensembl:misc_RNA Y_RNA Y RNA